CCUACGGGAGGCAGCAGUGAGGAAUAUUGGUCAAUGGGCGAGAGCCUGAACCAGCCAAGUCGCGUGAGGGAGUACUGCCCUAUGGGUUAUAAACCUCUUUUGUCGGGGAGCAAAAGCCGGACGUGUCCGGCUGUGAGAGUAUCCGCAGAAAAAGCACCGGCUAACUCCGUGCCAGCAGCCGCGGUAAUACGGGGGAUGCGAGCGUUAUCCGGAUUUAUUGGGUUUAAAGGGUGCGCAGGCGGAUUUUUAAGUCAGCGGUAAAAUCGUGGGGCUCAACCCCAUCCAGCCGUUGAAACUGGGGGUCUAGAGUGGGCGAGAGGUAGGCGGAAUGCGUGGUGUAGCGGUGAAAUGCAUAGAUAUCACGCAGAACCCCGAUUGCGAAGGCAGCAUACCGGUGCACAACUGACGCUCAGGCACGAAAGCGUGGGUAUCGAACAGGAUUAGAUACCCUUGUAGUC
rnacentral:rRNA from 1 species